UUUAAUAUCUGAUACGUCCUCUAUCCGAGG
rnacentral:piRNA from 3 species